GCUCCGUAGGUGAACCUGCGGAGGGAUCAUUACAGAGUUCAUGCCCUACCGGGUAGAUCUCCCACCCUAUGUUAUUAUUACUUUGUUGCUUUGGCUGGCCGUUAGGCUCCGGCCCGACUACCGGCCCCGGCUGGUAAGCGCCCGCCAGAGGACCCAAAACCCUGAAUAUUAGUGUCGUCUGAGUACUAUAUAAUAGUUAAAACUUUCAACAACGGAUCUCUUGGUUCUG
rnacentral:misc_RNA from 1 species